AUGGGGUCAGCUGCUCUCCUGCUGUGGGUACUGCUACUCUGGGUUCCAGGUUCCAAUGGGCAUGUUGUGUUGACUAAGUAUCCAGCUUCUUUGGUCAUGUUUCUAGGGAAUAGGGCCACCAUCUCCUGCAAGCCCAGCCAGAAUGUCACUAUUAGACCUAUUGAUUUUAUGAGCUGGUAUCAACAGAAACCAGUACAAGGCCACAAACUCCUCAUCUAUGGAGCAUCCAAGCUAGCAUCUGGAGUCCAUACCAGGUUCAGUGGCAGUGGGUCUGGGACAGACUUCUCCCUCACCAUCCAUCCUGUGGAGGCUGAUGAUGUUGCAACUUAUUACUGUCAGCAAUGUCUAGUGGUUCCUCCCACAGUGCUCCAGGGCUGA